rnacentral:rRNA from 1 species
UACAGGGGGUGCAAACGUUGCUCGGAAUCAUUGGGCGUAAAGCGCACGUAGGCGGAUCUUUAAGUCAGGGGUGAAAUCCCAAGGCUCAACCUUGGAACUGCCUUUGAUACUGGGGAUCUCGAGUCCGGAAGAGGUGAGUGGAACUGCGAGUGUAGAGGUGAAAUUCGUAGAUAUUCGCAAGAACACCAGUGGCGAAGGCGGCUCACUGGUCCGGUACUGACGCUGAGGUGCGAAAGCGUGGGGAGCAAACAGG